rnacentral:rRNA from 1 species
ACGGGUGCGUAACACGUAUGUAACCUACCUUGUUCAGGGGGAUAGCCUCUCGAAAGAGAGAUUAAGACCGCAUAACGUUAUUGAAUGGCAUCGUUUAAUAACCAAAUAUUUAUAGGAACAAGAUGGGCAUGCGGAACAUUAGCUAGUUGGUAAGGUAACGGCUUACCAAGGCUACGAUGUUUAGGGGAUCUGAGAGGAUGACCCCCCACACUGGUACUGAGACACGGACCAGACUCCUACGGGAGGCAGCAGUAAGGAAUAUUGGUCAAUGGGCGCAAGCCUGAACCAGCCAUGCCGCGUGCAGGAAGACGGCCCUAUGGGUUGUAAACUGCUUUUAUACGGGAAUAAACCUUGAUACGUGUAUCAAGCUGAAUGUACUGUAAGAAUAAGGAUCGGCUAACUCCGUGCCAGCAGCCGCGGUAAUACGGAGGAUCCAAGCGUUAUCCGGAUUUAUUGGGUUUAAAGGGUGCGUAGGUGGUUCUUUAAGUCAGGGGUGAAAGACGGCAGCUUAACUGUCGCAGUGCCUUUGAUACUGAAGAACUUGAAUCCACUAGAGGUAGGCGGAAUGUGACAAGUAGCGGUG